CCCUAAGCCUCAGCGGAGCCGCUGGGAGGUGGAGGCGACUUACCGUGGCAAGCCUGGGUGGGUGGGCGGGUGGGUGCCCCUUACUGCUGAGAUAAGGCUGUUCAGGGAAGCGGCCUCCUGACAGUGCGUGAUUACCAGGCGUGUAAAUCCCAGUGCUAGCCAGGAUCCAGGAAAAGGCCAGGCUUUCCCACCUGGCAGAGGACACAGUCCCUCUGCCGCAUAGGACUCUGUCAGCCCGUGGAAAUGGGUGCCACUUUGCGAGCGGGCAAGAUGCUUCUCAGCCCACUCCAGAAUACCUGUAUCUGCUGACCCUGGAAGUGCUGUCUCCAUCAGGCCCAAAUCCAGAAGUCCAAUCUGCCCCAAGAAGUCCCUCGCUUCUCUCUGGAGUUCAAGAGAACCUUCUGGGUAUUCCAGAUACCUCUGACCAACCAAGGGUGAGAGCAACCCCCACAGAGUGGUGUCACAUUAAAUAUGGCACUUGGAGAA
rnacentral:lncRNA from 1 species